rnacentral:rRNA from 1 species
CCUACGGGAGGCAGCAGUGGGGAAUAUUGGACAAUGGGCGAAAGCCUGAUCCAGCAAUGCCGCGUGAGUGAAGAAGGCCUUAGGGUUGUAAAGCUCUUUCGCCUGCGACGAUGAUGACGGUAGCAGGAGAAGAAGCCCCGGCUAAUUCCGUGCCAGCAGCCGCGGUAAUACGGAAGGGGCUAGCGUUGUUCGGAAUUACUGGGCGUAAAGCGCGCGUAGGCGGCUUGGCAAGUGAGGCGUGAAAGUCCUGGGCUCAACCUGGGGACGGCGCUUCAGACUGUUUGGCUUGAGUCCGGAAGAGGGUGGUGGAAUUCCGAGUGUAGAGGUGAAAUUCGUAGAUAUUCGGAGGAACACCGGUGGCGAAGGCGGCCACCUGGUCCGGAACUGACGCUGAAGUGCGAAAGCGUGGGGAGCAAACAGGAUUAGAUACCCUGGUAGUCCACGCUGUAAACGAUGGGUGCUAGAUGUUGGGAGGCUUGCUUCUCGGUGUCGUAGCUAACGCGUUAAGCACCCCGGCUGGGGAGUACGGCCGCAAGGUUAAAACUCAAAGGAAUUGACGG